rnacentral:lncRNA from 1 species
CUAUUUGAAUUUGACUUGAUGGGAAAUGGCCUUUUUUGACUGUGGGGUCCUCCCAUCGGUAUCUAAUGGCAGGGUUCCAAAAGUUCCCUUAAGCUCGAUUAAAUGGAAGUAGCACAUAUCCAUGCAUUGAUGCGCGAAGCUAAGGACAUGAGCGCAGCCACAUACAAUUGCCUGCGUCGUCGCUUAGACCUGGUUGGCCACUGAGUUCUGGGCCUUCUUCUCCGUCUUCUCGGCGCCGUUCAUGUGGGUCUUGUCUUUGCUCAUUUCCACCGAGUCCUCCUCGUCGCCGGUGGCUGCUCCCUUGUGGUUCCUGUAGAUGGCGUACAAGUAUGGCACCUGCACGAGUAAAAACCAUUAGAGUUAAAUUUUAUUAAGCCGGGCUUGUGAUGUGCCUUCGAGGCAUGGUUCAAGUCUAGGUAGGCACUAAUUUUGGGGGAAUGAUGAGAAUUGAUUGAAAUGAUGGAAGAUUCCUACGUAAGGUUCUACCUUAGAACUUCCUCUAGAUAGAGAGGAGAUCGAAGAUGUGCAACCGUACGUAGGACCAUGUAUUGUUUUGUUUUGUGCUGGUGUCCUUAGCAUGUGCUUGUGUUAUGAAUGCCUCCAGCAACACUGCAUCUAUAUAAACUCAAGGUCACCGGCACCCAAUGGCAACGGGUUCCAAACUUGAGACGUGUGAAGAAAUGAUAGACGCCAACCAUUUUGCCCACUCCUUGGCCAGCAUUUACACAAGCCAGCUUAAUUUAAAGACUUGUGUUUGUUUGGUAUGAUAUUGUACGUGGUACCAUGUGCAUGUUGGUAACUACUAUAUUUUUAUGUUUGGAUGAUUGAAAAAUAGGUCAUGCG